GGGGAUAUACCUUAGUGGUAGAGUGUGUGCUUAGCAUGCAGGAGGUCAUGGGUUCAACCCCCAGUACCUCCA
rnacentral:tRNA from 1 species